AACGAGCGAAUAAUAAAAAAUAUUUUCUAUAUACGCAGGCUCCAACGUCGAACAAUUUAAUUGGCCCUAAACCGUUUGGAUCGUCGAAUAUAUCGUCCCCUCCACUGGCGAGCACAGGAAGUAGCACUCUGCCACGACCCCAGAGUCAGACUGUGACCGCCGGUCCAUCUUUCAACCCGAAACCCAGACCUUUCUCCCUCACAUUCGCAUGAGUCGGUAGCUCUCAGCUACGCCGUCGUCGUCUUCGUGCUGACAGCCGAAUCGAACAAAUCCGAUAUUUCUAUGCAAUAACUUUAUUUAUAUUCGACAUUCACGAUUCUUCUUUAAUCUCUAAAUAAUAAGGAUCAAUUUUCAAUUUCGUUUAAUUUAAAUCUUUCUUUUUUUUCGACAUUCACUUGUUCGAUUGUUUCUCUCUCUCUCUCUCUCUCUUCUUUCUCUUCCUCUAAUUCACUUUCUCUCUUUCAUUCUCUCUCUCUCUCUCUCUUCCGGGGACGAGGAAUCAGGAAUUAUUUCGAGAUUGAAAGGAUUGUGUGUCGAAUCCGUGUAUUAUUGUCGGUCGAAAUAAUUUUUCUCGUAAAGUGUUGAUGAAAACUUACAAUACAAUUGCUAAAUAAAGCGAUAGUUAAGCCGAGCAAA